AAUUUGAUCCACUCCCGUUUUGGCUCGUUUCAUGCGCUCGGCUCGAACGUCCUCUCGCUGUGUCUCUCUCUUAUCUCUUAGUUUCACUUGCGUCCAACACAGCCACUCAUUCCUCUCUCCCUCUCUCUUCCCGUCCUGCAAGUUUCGAUCGAUGGGCAUCGUACGGGCUCUCACAAGCGAGCAAGGAAGCAAACUAGUACCUGUAGCCCAGCCGGCCAACAGGCAGCCUCUGUGCCGUGUCCUGGUUCGUGUUCCUGUGGCCGAAGCUCUGCGAGCGUGGACAUUCUUGUCAAAGCCAUCCUGCGGCUGAAGCUAUCUACGCACGUGGACGUUUAAUCGGAGCGCGCCAGACGGAGCCAGAGCACCAGAGGGGAGCCGAAGCACGCCGGACGGGCUGAAGGGCUUCCGAGGUCGGUCGGGGCUACGGUGCGCGCGCUUGGGGCAGCUUCAUGGCGUGCCGACGUGUGUUCCUAGCCGAGCGCAGCCACUCAUUCCUCUCUCCCUGGCCCCUCUCUUCCUCUAUCCUUUGUUCUUUGUUAGUGUAUGGAUGAGAUAGUUGUUUUCAUUGUGUUUUUGUGUUUGAGAUGAGUAUAUGGAUGAGAUAGUUGAUUUGUGUUUGUGUUUGUAUGGAUGAUAUGAGUCGAUUUGUGCAUGUGUUCGUAUGAUUCAGGAGAGGUUGACGGAGGAGCGGCAGAGCAAAGGAGAGAGGAGAUCAGGUGCCUGUGGCCGAGCUGCUACUGCUUCUGGUGGUGGUCGUGUGGCACGGAGGCGAAGAGUGCCGACGGUACCGGUAGCCGAGCCGGCUCGAUACGGCUCGUUUCCCUUUUUUUUCUCCCAAUCCACUAUCACCGUAGGUUCGUGAUUCGAACUGGUAGUGAUGCUAAGUUAUUGUGCUGGUUCUAGAACCGACACUGAUAGUUAUUUUUCAACUGGCACUCUUAUGCUUUUUUGCAGUAGUGCAUUGUUCAUAACAUAUAAACCUAGCUAGCUAUACACAAUCACUAGCUAUACACAUUUUUCUUUCAGAAGGAUGAGAUGCUUGACAUCAUUGAUGCCGUCUUCCAGAAAGACAAGAUGAUUGACAUAAUUGGAGAUGCCGUCUUCCUGAAGGAUGAGAUGAUUCAUAUCAUAGGUCACUCGAGAUAUUGCAUGCAGCCCAGGCCCAGCCGGUCCUCCGUCCCCAUAGCACCGCACUUCCGCUGUUCUGCAGAGGCGCGCGCAGAGGCCUAGGCCCAGCACCAUCAGUUGACUAGCCACAGCCAGUGAAGAAACCUAACUCGUCUCCCCUAAUCCCCAUUCGAAUUCGCCGUGUCGUCUGCAUGCGUCGCCCCUCCGGCUUCACCGUCCACACUGCCCCUUAACACCUUCGGCCUCGACGCAUCACCGUCCGUGCCCCUCCGGCGGCCACGCAAGACACUAGACGUCUCCUCCGGCGUCCAGCCUCCCUGUCCCUGCUGGCGGUGGAACCAACACUUCAUUUGUGCGAGCCCGGAGGAAGCAGCACGAGGUGACAUUGCACUCUCAAGCUCUAGUAAUGGGCCAAUCCGGUUUGAGAUAUAGUGGUUAGCAUGGUGUGCGUGAUGAGUGCCUACCUUGUUGGUUGGCUUGGAGUUUGAUGCUAUGCUUCGUGCGUGCAUGCGAGGCGUUUAAUUGCUGGAAUGCCAAGGAAGGUCGUGUUCAACUGAUCUAUUUCAAUCUUUUGGCGACUGCAAUCUUCUGGAACAAUGGAACAUAUCUGUAUUGUGACUCA